GACGAACGCUGGCGGCGUGCCUAAUACAUGCAAGUAGAACGCACAGUUUAUACCGUAGCUUGCUACACCAUAGACUGUGAGUUGCGAACGGGUGAGUAACGCGUAGGUAACCUGCCUGGUAGCGGGGGAUAACUAUUGGAAACGAUAGCUAAUACCGCAUAAUAUUAAUUAUUGCAUGAUAAUUAAUUGAAAGGUGCAAUUGCACCACUACCAGAUGGACCUGCGUUGUAUUAGCUAGUAGGUGAGGUAACGGCUCACCUAGGCGACGAUACAUAGCCGACCUGAGAGGGGGAUCGGCCACACUGGGACUGAGACACGGCCCAGACUCCUACGGGGGGCAGCAGUAGGGAAUCUUCGGCAAUGGACGAAAGUCUGACCGAGCAACGCCGCGUGAGUGAAGAAGGUUUUCGGAUCGUAAAGCUCUGUUGUAAGAGAAGAACGGGUGUGAGAGUGGAAAGUUCACACUGUGACGGUAUCUUACCAGAAAGGGACGGCUAACUACGUG
rnacentral:rRNA from 1 species